rnacentral:rRNA from 1 species
CCUACGGGCGGCUGCAGUGGGGAAUAUUGGACAAUGGGGGCAACCCUGAUCCAGCCAUGCCGCGUGUGUGAAGAAGGCCCUCGGGUUGUAAAGCACUUUCAGUGAGGAAGAACGCCUGGUGGUUAAUACCCAUCAGGAAAGACAUCACUCACAGAAGAAGCACCGGCUAACUCCGUGCCAGCAGCCGCGGUAAUACGGAGGGUGCGAGCGUUAAUCGGAAUUACUGGGCGUAAAGCGCGCGUAGGUGGCUUGAUAAGCCGGUUGUGAAAGCCCCGGGCUCAACCUGGGAACGGCAUCCGGAACUGUCAAGCUAGAGUGCAGGAGAGGAAGGUAGAAUUCCCGGUGUAGCGGUGAAAUGCGUAGAGAUCGGGAGGAAUGCCAGUGGCGAAGGCGGCCUUCUGGACUGACACUGACACUGAGGUGCGAAAGCGUGGGUAGCAAACAGGAUUAGAUACCCUGGUAGUC